UACGUAGGGUCCGAGCGUUGUCCGGAGUUACUGGGCGUAAAGCGCGCGCAGGCGGCCCGCGAGGUGUCACGUGAAAGCCCCGGGCUCAACUCGGGAGGGUCGUGGCAAACCGGCGGGCUUGAGGCCGGUAGAGGUGGGUGGAACUCCUGGUGGAGUGGUGAAAUGCGUAGAGAUCAGGAAGAACACCCGUGGCGAAGGCGGCCCACUGGGCCGGUGCUGACGCUGAGGCGCGAAAGCUAGGGUAGCAAACGGG
rnacentral:rRNA from 1 species